CGCGCAGGCGGCGCGAGAAGUCAGGCGUGAAAGCCCCGGGCUCAACCUGGGAAUUGCGCUUGAUACUCUCAUGCUGGAGUUCGGGAGAGGAGAGUGGAAUUCCCAGUGUAGAGGUGAAAUUCGUAGAUAUUGGGAAGAACACCGGUGGCGAAGGCGGCUCUCUGGACCGAGACUGACGCUGAGGCGCGAAAGCGUGGGGAGCAAACAGGAUUAGAUACCCUGGUAGUCCACGCUGUAAACGAUGUGUGCUAGACGUUGGGGGGCCUAGCCCUCCGGUGUCGCAGCUAACGCUUUAAGCACACCGCCUGGGGAGUACGGCCGCAAGGUUAAA
rnacentral:rRNA from 1 species